rnacentral:rRNA from 1 species
UGAGGAAUCUUCCACAAUGGGCGAAAGCCUGAUGGAGCAAUACCGCGUGCAGGAAGACGCUUUUCGGAGUGUAAACUGCUUUUCUGAAGGAAGAUUAUGACGGUACUUCAGGAAUAAGGAUCGGCUAACUACGUGCCAGCAGCCGCGGUAAUACGUAGGAUCCAAGCGCUAUCCGGAAUUACUGGGCGUAAAGCGUGCGCAGACGGUUUAGUAGGUCUUAUGCGAAAUCCGGUGGCUCAACCACCUGGACUGUAUAGGAAACCCCUUGACUUGAGGUAGGUAGAGGUACAUGGAAUUUCUGGUGUAGGAGUGACAUCCGUAGAUAUCAGAAGGAACACCAAUGGCGAAGGCAGUGUACUGGGCCUUACCUGACGUUCAGGCACGAAAGCGUGGGUAGCAAACAGGAUUAGAUACCCGUGUAGUCC